AACGCAUCUUGCGCUUUCUGGUAUUCCGGAAAGCAUGCCUGUUUGAGUGUCAUGAAACUCUCAACCCCUCCGGUUUUGUAAUGAAGCUGGUGUUGGGCUUGGAUCCUGAGUGUUGCCGGCUUGUACAAGUCUGGCUCAUUCGAAAUGCAUUAGCAAUCACGCGACUGGCGUCGGUUUGACUUGAAGUGAUAGAAACAAACUCCUUCAAGGACAUCUCUGGUAACACAGAGGUGACCGUGCCCUUUGCCGGAAUGCUCAUAGAAACCCAUACCUUACAAUCAUGAUUAGACCUCAAAUCAGGUAGGACUACCCGCUGAACUUAA
rnacentral:misc_RNA from 1 species